AUUGCUUCUCAGCCUUUUGGCUAAGAGCAAGUGUAGUAUCUGUUCUUAUCAGUUUAAUAUCUGCUACGUCCUCUAUCUGAGGACAAUGUAGUAAAUGGAUUUUUGGAGUCAGGAGAUGGAAUACGAGCUUGCUCCAUCCGCUCUACGUGUUGACCUGGCAUUGCAGUACCUCCAGGAAUGGUGCACCCCUU
rnacentral:snRNA from 1 species